GUGCAGCAGGCGCGAAUCUUUAGCAAUGCCCGAAAGGGUGACUAUGCGACGCCGCGUGAGCGAUGAAGUCCUUCGGGACGUAAAGCUCUGUCAGGUGGGAUGAAUUUUUCGACCUUAACAGGGUUGGAAUUUGACCGUACACCAGAGGAAGCCACGGCUAACUCCGUGCCAGCAGCCGCGGUAAUACGGAGGUGGCAAGCGUUGUUCGGAUUUAUUGGGUGUAAAGGGCAUGUAGGUGUCCUAGUAAGUCCUGGGCUGAAAUCCUUCGGCUCAACCGAAGAACGUGUCAGGAAACUGCUGGGAUUGAGUACGGAAGAGGAGAACGGAA
rnacentral:rRNA from 1 species